rnacentral:rRNA from 1 species
UACGAAGGGGGCUAGCGUUGUUCGGAAUUACUGGGCGUAAAGGGCGCGUAGGCGGCUCUGAUCGUCGGAUGUGAAAGGCCUGGGCUCAACCUGGGAAUGGCAUCCGAUACGGCGGGGCUGGAGUGUGGGAGAGGUUGGUGGAAUUCCCAGUGUAGAGGUGAAAUUCGUAGAUAUUGGGAAGAACACCGGUGGCGAAGGCGGGUCUCUGGGCAGUAACUGACGCUGAGGAGCGAAAGCCAGGGGAGCAAACGGG